GCUGGGUGUAGUGGUGCACACCUGUAAUGCCAGCAACUCGAGAAGCCAAGGCAUGAGGAUCACAAGUUCCAGGCUGACCUGGGCAAAUUAGUGAGACCUUGUCUCAA
rnacentral:sRNA from 1 species